UAGAUUGAAGACCAGUUGAUUAGGGGGUUUAGCUGUUAACUAAAUUUUCGUGGGUUGAAUUUCCACCAGUCUAG
rnacentral:tRNA from 1 species